UCCUACGGGACGCAGCAGUGGGGGAUAUUGCACAAUGGGGGAAACCCUGAUGCAGCGACGCCGCGUGAGUGAAGAAGUAUUUCGGUAUGUAAAGCUCUAUCAGCAGGGAAGAAAAUGACAGUACCUGACCAAGAAGCCCCGGCUAACUACGUGCCAGCAGCCGCGGUAAUACGGAGGAUGCGAGCGUUAUCCGGAUUUAUUGGGUUUAAAGGGUGCGUAGGCGGAAUAUCAAGUCAGCGGUAAAAAUUCGGGGCUCAACCCCGUCGUGCCGUUGAAACUGAUGUUCUUGAGUGGGCGAGAAGUAU
rnacentral:rRNA from 1 species